rnacentral:rRNA from 1 species
GAUGAACGCUGGCGGCGUGCCUAAUACAUGCAAGUCGAGCGAAUGGAUUAAGAGCUUGCUCUUAUGAAGUUAGCGGCGGACGGGUGAGUAACACGUGGGUAACCUGCCCAUAAGACUGGGAUAACUCCGGGAAACCGGGGCUAAUACCGGAUAACAUUUUGAACCGCAUGGUUCGAAAUUGAAAGGCGGCUUCGGCUGUCACUUAUGGAUGGACCCGCGUCGCAUUAGCUAGUUGGUGAGGUAACGGCUCACCAAGGCAACGAUGCGUAGCCGACCUGAGGGGGUGAUCGGCCACACUGGGACUGAAAGACGGCCCAGAAUCCUGCGGGAGGCAGCAGUAGGGAAUCUUCCGCAAUGGACGAAAGUCUGACGGAGCAACGCCGCGUGAGUGAUGAAGGCUUUCGGGUCGUAAAACUCUGUUGUUAGGGAAGAACAAGUGCUAGUUGAAUAAGCUGGCACCUUGACGGUACCUAACCAGAAAGCCACGGCUAACUACGUGCCAGCCGCCGCGGUAA